GUGGAAAGUACAAGCUGGGAAAAAUCCCAGUGCCCAGGACAAGUCUAAGUGCUAAUUGGGCAAUUUCCUACCAGACAGACGAAAAAGGGGGCAGCUUGACCAGCAAUACUGAGUGGCCAGUCAGAGAGAAGGUCUUGCAAUCCUAGCAACAAUCGGAUGCUUCAAAGGCAGUUAUUUUUGCCAUAAAGGCCAGAGCUAUUGAAACAACUCUCCUAAGCUUCACUUUGAGAAGGAUAAAAAGGAAAUUCUGCUGCAGG